rnacentral:rRNA from 1 species
ACUCGUAGACUCCUACGGGAGGCAGCAGUGGGAAUAUUGGACAAUGGGCGCAAGCCUGAUCCAGCCAUGCCGCGUGUGUGAAGAAGGCCUUUUGGUUGUAAAGCACUUUAAGCGAGGAGGAGGCUCCUUUAGUUAUACCUAAAGAGAGUGGACGUUACUCGCAGAAUAAGCACCGGCUAACUCUGUGCCAGCAGCCGCGGGUAAUACAGAGGGUGCGACGUUAAUCGGAUUUACUGGGCGUAAAGCGUGCGUAGGCGGCUUUUUAAGUCGGAUGUGAAAUCCCUGAGCUUAACUUAGGAAUUGCAUUCGAUACUGGAAAGCUAGAGUAUGGGAGAGGAUGGUAGAAUUCCAGGUGUAGCGGUGAAAUGCGUAGAGAUCUGGAGGAAUACCGAUGGCGAAGGCAGCCAUCUGGCCUAAUACUGACGCUGAGGUACGAAAGCAUGGGGAGCAAACAGGAUUAGAUACCCUGGUAG